CCUACGGGGGGCAGCAGUGGGGAAUAUUGCCCAAUGGGGGAAACCCUGAGGCAGCAACGCCGCGUGGAGGAAGAAGGUCUUUACGAUCGUAAACUUCUUUUGUGAGGGAAGAGGAAGGACGGUACCUCAUGAAUAAGUCACGGCUAACUACGUGCCAGCAGCCGCGGUAAUACGUAGGUGACGAGCGUUAUCCGGAAUUACUGGGCGUAAAGCGUACGCAGGCGGCAUGGUAAGUCUGACGUGAAAUCUCCUGGCUUAACUGGGAGAGGUCGUUGGAGACUGCUGUGCUUGAGACAAUGAGAGGGGUGCAGAAUUCCCGGUGUAGUGGUGGAAUGCGUAGAUAUCGGGAGGAAUACCAGAGGCGAAAGCGGCACCCUGGCAUUGGUCUGACGCUCAUGUACGAAAGCGUGGGUAGCAAACGGGCUUAGAUACCCCAGUAGUC
rnacentral:rRNA from 1 species